GGAUGGAUUGCAUGGGNUGAAUUGUUCCCUGCUUGUGCAGCGAAAUUUUUCCUYGCAAUCCUYUUCAUUGUUGCUUCAAGAGAAAUUUUUCCUUGAGCGGNUNUCGGGUCCCUGUGUUGCAUACCAUUUGAAGGAAUUUGAACMGAAAGAUGAUCAAUUUCGUCUUGUGCCACAUUGUGGCAUUAGGUGAAUCCCGAAGUACCUUUCGUGCUACNACGCAUGCCUCCAAAAANAAUUGGUGCUUGCUUGGCGCAUGGAUGGAUACUCGUGCUCUCGGAUGCGGAAUAUAUUGUGGAUAAGCGGUCUACUGAUUGCUUGUGCCCAAAAUUGUCCCUUUAUUGAACGACUAUCAUAACCGCGUGCCCCAUUCGAUUUU
rnacentral:misc_RNA from 1 species